rnacentral:rRNA from 1 species
UUCGGAGGGUGCGAGCGUUGUCCGGAAUCACUGGGCGUAAAGGGCGCGUAGGCGGCCUGAUAAGUAGGGGGUGAAAUCCUGCGGCUUAACCGCAGGGCUGCCUUCUAAACUGUCGGGCUCGAGCACAGUAGAGGCAGGUGGAAUUCCCGGUGUAGCGGUGGAAUGCGUAGAGAUCGGGAAGAACAUCAGUGGCGAAGGCGGCCUGCUGGGCUGUUGCUGACGCUGAGGCGCGACAGCGUGGGGAGCAAACAGG